rnacentral:misc_RNA from 1 species
GAUGAAGAACGUAGCGAAAUGCGAUAAGUAAUGUGAAUUGCAGAAUUCAGUGAAUCAUCGAAUCUUUGAACGCACCUUGCACUCCUUGGUAUUCCGAGGAGUACGCCUGUUCGAGUGUUAUGAAGCUCUCAAAACGCAAUUGGCUUAAAACCUGAUUGUUGUUUUGGAUUUGAACUUUGCCAUGUUAUAACGGCUGGUUUUAAAAGUAUUAGCUGGUACUAGAACGAAUUGGUUCUACUCAACGUGAUAAUUAUCUGAUCGUUGAGGACAUUCCUUUCACGAGGAAUGGCCAUAGUAAAUUCAAUGGACUGCUUCUAAUCUGGCUUUAAUUCUUUAUUGGAUUAACCACUUUUCAAAUCUGACCUCGAAUCAGGUGGGACUACCCGCUGAACUUAAGCAUAUCAAUAAGCGGAGGA